rnacentral:rRNA from 1 species
CCUACGGGGGGCAGCAGUGAGGAAUAUUGGUCAAUGGACGAGAGUCUGAACCAGCCAAGUAGCGUGAAGGAUGACUGCCCUAUGGGUUGUAAACUUCUUUUAUAUGGGAAUAAAAUGUUCCACGUGUGGGAUUUUGUAUGUACCAUAUGAAUAAGGGUCGGCUAACUCCGUGCCAGCAGCCGCGGUAAUACGGAGGAUCCGAGCGUUAUCCGGAUUUAUUGGGUUUAAAGGGAGCGUAGGUUGAUUGUUAAGUCAGUUGUGAAAGUUUGCGGCUCAACCGUAAAAUUGCAGUUGAAACUGGCAGUCGUGAGUACAGUAGAGGUGGGCGGAAUUCGUGGUGUAGCGGUGAAAUGCUUAGAUAUCACGAAGAACUCCGAUUGCGAAGGCAGCUCACUGGACUGCAACUGACACUGAGGCUCGAAAGUGUGGGUAUCAAACAGGAUUAGAUACCCGAGUAGUC